rnacentral:misc_RNA from 1 species
GCAUAUUUCAAUAUCAAUAGCAUAAUCAUCAUCAGAAGACACAGAUAACUGUCCACCUUGGAGAAACCGUGGUUUACGAGUAGAUGGCAGCUUGCUGCUAUCAACACCUAACAAGACCUUGAACUCUUCAAAGUGGUGGUGUGUCAUACCAAAUAAUCCAUUGACCCCAAGGUACUUAAGUCUGGGUUUACCUGCAGACCGUAAGACCUUUAAGUUCCGGAGAAUACCAUCAGCUGUGAGUCUCACACAUCCCGGGACACUAAGC